UAUUCAUGUAGUCCAUAUCAACAGAAUUUAUGUAGUAAUCACAUUAUCGUGUAUUUUUUGUUUUUUAACCGACUAUGUAUUUCAUUUGUGCUGACUAUACAAAUUGUCAAUAAACGAAUGUUCUAUGUUAUUGUCACAUAAAGUUACAAUAUAACAGAAAAUUUUGUACGUGGGUAACACAUCAGUGAUUGAUAUGAAAAAAAUAUUUUAUAUGAUGACUUUGUGUAAUUUGGUAGGUCUUGCAGUGAAAUCAACGUCUCGUAUACGAUUUAUUAUUCAUUAUCGGUCGCUGUAGAAAUAACAUCCAACAUAUCGCAGGAAAAAAUCCACCGGACAUCAGAGCCUUUGAUCAACU